CCUUUUCUUUCUUUCAUCUUCUUCUGUUUUCUCUUCUUCAUGUUCUUCGUCUGCGAGAGUUUAUGAGGUGUGAGUGAGAUGUGUUUGAUGAAAAUUGUCUGAUGAUGCUGUUAGAUGAUGGGGAAGAUAGAUUAGCUUUUGGAUGUGAAGCAGAACGGUUAGGUUUUGAAUCUGAGAUGAUCAAAAUUAGGGCUUUAGAUUUGAUUUAGGUUCUGAAGAUUUUAAUGAUGAAAUCAAGGAGUUAUGGUUGAUGAAGAAUCAUGGGUAGAAGUUUAAUAGCAGUUCUGAAGUUGCUUUGGAGAUUGAAUCUGAUAAUUAGGGUUUAUGCAUGUUGGAAUGGAGUUCGAACUGGGUAAAGAUUGAGAAGAUUUAGAUAGAAUUGUAAGAUGGGUUUUGAUUAUUGAGAUCAAGGAAGAAGAACUGACAGUUAAUUCUCAAAUCCCAGUGAUGAAUUGAGGAAUUAGGGUUCCUGUUUUUGAUUGAAGUUAUGAAUUCAAUUUGAAGACGAUGAGUUUAGUAGUAAGGUUCAAACAAGAGGCAUAUAUCUGAGGUAAUUGUCUUGCUAAGUUAAUUUAAGUAAACUAUUCAAUUUCAUUGUUGAGUUUGUGUAUAUAACGUUGAAGUAGGAUUGCUAUAAUUAUUGAAGUAUGGAUGUAAUUGAUAUUUGUGAGAUUUGAAUAUUGAACCAUGAUUUGAAGAAAUGGUGUUUAGUUGAUUAAACUGAAAUAAGAACUGUAGGUGAAGGUUUGUUCUGGUUCCCAGAGGGUUGUAAUGAAUUUGGUGAAUGGGUAUUAUCUGAGUUGUGAAUUGCAGGGUUGUAUAUAACAAAGUGUUAGUUUUGGUAAGUGAAAUAAAAGGGAGAUGGAAUGGAGUUUACAGAUUGUACGGGAGAGAACUGAAAUGUGGAUGCUAGAUUGAGCUGCGGAGAAGUGUUUAUUAGAUAGUAGUAAUUUUUGUUGAGCUGAAACUGUAGAUAAUAGAGAUAAAAGAGAAACCUGUAUCCGAAUUGUACGUUGCUGAGUAGAAACAGUUUGUGGGUUGGUUGUAGCUACUAGAGUCUAAAGGUGCAGGUGUAUUUUGAGCGAGAAGAUAUGACCUUGCAGUUAGUAAAGAAGGUCAGGAACUGCCUGAAGUGAUAAUGGUUUUGUUAUUGAGGUUAGGUAGAAUGUGUAGAAUUGUAUGAAUUUGUAAUGUUGAUUGCUCAAGAAGAACUGAAAGGAGAUUAUAAUUGAAAGAGUAAUAUGGUUUUGGAAGAGAAGUUGUAACUCGGAAGAUGAGAUGAGUGUUGGUUUGUUGGUGGCAGUGAAUGUAAAUUACAGGGAGUGUGUGUAUUGAGAUGAUCUGAGUUUGCUUAGAGCUGCAAUUGCAGUUAGUUAUUAACAACGAUCGAUUCAAAUGAUGAACCAGUGGAUCGUGGAUCUCGAGGUAGGCGUGGCUUGUCAUCAAAAGAGUUUCAGAGACAGAUCAGAGUUGCGCAGCGAAAGCUUCAUGGGUUGUUUUCGUUAGUUGGUUAACUUCUAUUACAUUUAUUAUAUUACAUACUGUAUCUGUAAACCAAAUGACUAUUGUAUAUGUAUCAUUUGAGAGGAUUUCUUGUA